GUCGCCUCCUAAAAGGUAACGGAGGCGCUCAAAGGUUCCCUCAGAAUGGUUGGAAAUCAUUCAUAGAGUGUAAAGGCAUAAGGGAGCUUGACUGCGAGACCUACAAGUCGAGCAGGGUCGAAAGACGGACUUAGUGAUCCGGUGGUUCCGCAUGGAAGGGCCAUCGCUCAACGGAUAAAAGCUACCCCGGGGAUAACAGGCUUAUCUCCCCCAAGAGUUCACAUCGACGGGGAGGUUUGGCACCUCGAUGUCGGCUCAUCGCAUCCUGGGGCUGUAGUCGGUCCCAAGGGUUGGGCUGUUCGCCCAUUAAAGCGGUACGCGAGCUGGGUUCAGAACGUCGUGAGACAGUUCGGUCCCUAUCCGUCGUGGGCGUAGGAAAUUUGAGAGGAGCUGUCCUUAGUACGAGAGGACCGGGAUGGACAUACCUCUGGUGUACCAGUUGUCGUGCCAACGGCAUAGCUGGGUAGCUAUGUGUGGACGGGAUAAGUGC
rnacentral:rRNA from 1 species